GGACCCGUAGCUCAGCUGGAUAGAGCGUUGCCCUCCGAAGGCAAAGGCCAUGAGUUCGAAUCUCGUCGGGUCCACCA
rnacentral:tRNA from 1 species